CUAGUAUGUAGGGAAUAGGAGGCCAUUUGGGGCCUGGUCUAGUAUGUAGGGAAUAGGAGGCCAUUUUGGCCCAUGGGGAAUAGGAGGCCAUUUUGGCCCAUGGGGAAUAGGAGGCCAUUUGGGCCCAUGGGGAAUAGGAGGCCAUUUGGGCCCAUGGGGAAUAGGAGGCCAUUUUGUCGGCCCAUGGGGCUCUGGUCUAGUAUGUAGGGAAUAGGAGGUCAUUUGGGUCCAUAGGGCUCUGGUCUAGUAUGUAGGAAAUAGGAGGCCAUUUGGGUCCAUGGUGCUAUGGUCUAGUAUGUAGGGAAUAGGAGGCCAUUUGGGCUCUGGGCUAGUAUGUACGGAAUAGGAGGCCAUUUGGGCUCUGGUCUAGUAUGUAGGGAAUAGGAGGCCAUUUGGGACCAUGGGGCUCUGGUCUAGUAUGUAGGAAAUAGGAGGCCAUUUGGGCUCUGGUCUAGUAUGUAGGGAAUAGGAGGCCAUUUGGGCUCUGGUCUAGUAUGUAGGGAAUGGGAUGCCAUUUUGGCCCAUGGGGAAUAGGAGGCCAUUUAGGCCCAUGGGGAAUAGGAGGCCAUUUGGGCCCAUGGGGAAUAGGAGGCCAUUUGGGCCCAUGGGGAAUAGGAGGCCAUUUGGGCCCAUGGGGAAUAGG
ensembl:lncRNA